GCUCUCUUCUCGUCUCUCCACUGGCUCCACGUCUGUGUCUUCACUUGUGCCUGUCUCAUUAGUUUUGUGAUAAUUGGU